rnacentral:tRNA from 1 species
AUUUAUAUAGUUUAAAUAAAACAUUACAUUUUCAUUGUAAAAAUAAAAUUUUAAUUUUUAUAAAUA